ACAGCAGUGCUGUGCUCCAUGCAGGUCUGUGCAGGGGGUGUGAGUGACCAUGUCCGGUGCAACAGAAGGUGCAGUGACACCUGAGAGAAAAAUAAAAGGAGUGUUUUAGGAGCCAGGAGGGAGAGCAGAUGGUGCUGGGAAUGACACGGGUGCCCUGAGUCACAAAGCUCUGUGCUCUGAUGUGGGAUGAAUUGCUACCAGCUGGGGGAAGCUGGAGGUGGGCUUUAGCACUUGUUCCUGAGCACUGGAGGGGUGUGAGAUGUGUCCCAGUGAGGUGCUGGGGAGGGCUCAGCUCCUUCUGUUGGCUCCUUGGGAUUGCUGGCAUGAGAGCGGGUGUGUGUUUGGCUGUGGGCAGCAUCGAGUGGAAGGAUGUUGUUCCGUGCUGAAGAGCGGGUGCAGCUCAGCUCAGCAGACCUCAGCUGCCGAUCUGCACGCAGCAUCAAAGCCGUGCAGGGUGCAAGCCAGUCCUGGUGCCUCCAACCAAGUGGGACCUCACAUUGCAGACUUCUCCCAGGGAGGUAACGCUGCUGAUGUUUGCUCUGCAGACAAGAUGUGAAGAUGGGCUUCUCUGCUAGGACAGCACCCGUCCUUAUCCUUGUGCAAAGGCUUCCACAGUCUGACCUCUUCCACAAGACAGUGAGUGCCCAGCUUAACUCAGUGGGAGGAAGUGAUUCUAAUUUAAUCAUCAGUUGGAUUUUAAAUGAACUUUACAAGUAGAUUGCAUGAGUUAAGGAUAUCAUCAUCAGUUCAAUAGCAGAGCUAGGGACCCUCAUGUACUUUCAGGUGUGGAAGAAUGGUGAGGGCAGGGGGAUUUUCCAGACAGCCCCGCCAAACGUGUUUGUCUUGGGUCCACGGCACAGAAAUGACUCCGGAGGAGGUGGAGAGCAGCCUUACUAUGGAGUGUUAUUAUGGGACAGAUUUUGUCAUUUUAGGCAUUGAAGGAGGUAAUGGAAAAAACCUCCUGUGAUUGUGUUCCCUUGCCUCUUCCUCUAGCCUCCUUCCGACCCACAUACUCAUCUCCAACCAGAGCGCUGGAAGCAUCCAAUGGGAGCUUGGUUUGAAAUCUAAACCUAUUCUUUUUUCCCCUCUUCCUAAAGUCUGUGUUCUUCCACCAAAUAUAGAAGAUCCCAUUGGCUUCAGAGACUCAAGGCUGGCGAAUUGCUUCGUUUUAGAAUACUUUUUCUAACUGAUGCUCUAAGAGGGUUUUUUUUGGUUUUUUGUUUUUUUUUUGCUUCUGCUCUAUUGGUUUAAUGCAUUAAUUUGGCACGGAAGAGGUGGAGCCCA